rnacentral:rRNA from 1 species
UACGAAGGGUGCAAGCGUUAAUCGGAAUUACUGGGCGUAAAGGGUGCGUAGGCGGUUGUUUAAGUCUGUCGUGAAAUCCCCGGGCUCAACCUGGGAAUGGCGAUGGAUACUGGCGAGCUAGAGUGUGUCAGAGGAUGGUGGAAUUCCCGGUGUAGCGGUGAAAUGCGCAGAUAUCGGGAGGAACACCAAUGGCGAAGGCAGCUCGCUGGGACGGUACUGACGCUGAGACGCGAAAGCGUGGGGAGCAAACAGG